GCAGUCGUGGCCGAGUGGUUAAGGCGAUGGACUAGAAAAUCAUUAUGGUCUCCACGCACUGAUUCGAAUCCUGGCGACUGCG
rfam:Ixodes scapularis strain Wikel colony gcontig_1107729015072, whole genome shotgun sequence.